rnacentral:rRNA from 1 species
UAACCUGCCCAAGAGAUCGGGAUAACACCUGGAAACAGAUGCUAAUACCGGAUAACAACAGAUGAUGCCUAUCAACUGUUUAAAAGAUGGUUNUGCUAUCACUCUUGGAUGGACCUGCGGUGCAUUAGCUAGUUGGUAGGGUAACGGCCUACCAAGGCGAUGAUGCAUAGCCGAGUUGAGAGACUGAUCGGCCACAUUGGGACUGAGACACGGCCCAAACUCCUACGGGAGGCAGCAGUA